AAGCCAAUUUUCAACAGUGAAGGCGGUUUUCAGCAAAUUUGAUUUGGAGAACUAAUUACUCCAUUACCCAUUCUGAAAAAGACCUCUUUAUAUCCAAAAGCAGCAAUGAUUAAAAUUUAAAAAAACGUCAAAGAAAAAGUGAAAAUCUUGGAAGGCAAAGGUGAAGUUGAGAAGGCAAGAAGCAUUGAAGGGAAACAGGCAUGGAGAGGUUCUCUGCAAAGAGCUGAAGGAGUUAAGGAAAAAACGAUGUGAAUUGCUUGCUAAGUCAAUUAAAAAACGCUAUAAAAUCAAAUCACAAAGUAAAAAGAAGUGGACGAAUGCACCGAAGAACAGAAAAAGAGAAAAGCCAACAUUAAGAAAAAUUUAAAAAAUAGAACCUAAACUAAUGAAAAAAGGCCAAUUUAUCGUAUUAAUGACCGAAACUGACUCUUGGAUGAGUUAACUCGUGUUCUGUGAUGUGCAAAACAUGUGAUAGUUUUGUAUGAAAAUAAACUGGCAUGGUUUCCAUGUUCGAUGAAAA